UACGUAGGGGGCAAGCGUUGUCCGGAUUUAUUGGGCGUAAAGAGCGUGUAGGCGGCCUGAAAGGUCAGCUGUGAAAACUCGAGGCUCAACCUCGAGACGUCGGUUGAAACCAUCUGGCUAGAGUCCGGAAGAGGAGAGUGGAAUUCCCGGUGUAGCGGUGAAAUGCGCAGAUAUCGGGAAGAACACCCGUGGCGAAGGCGGCUCUCUGGGACGGUACUGACGCUGAGACGCGAAAGCGUGGGGAGCGAACAGGC
rnacentral:rRNA from 1 species